GACGAACGCUGGCGGCGUGCUUAACACAUGCAAGUCGAACGGUGACGAGGAGCUUGCUCCUCCGAUCAGUGGCGAACGGGUGAGUAACACGUGAGUAACCUGCCCCAGACCCUGGGAUAACAGUUGGAAACAGCUGCUAAUACCGGAUACGAGACGGAGAGGCAUCUCUACCGUCUGGAAAGAUUUAUCGGUCUGGGAUGGACUCGCGGCCUAUCAGCUUGUUGGUGAGGUAAAGGCUCACCAAGGCGACGACGGGUAGCCGGCCUGAGAGGGCGACCGGCCACACUGGGACUGAGACACGGCCCAGACUCCUACGGGAGGCAGCAGUGGGGAAUAUUGCACAAUGGGCGAAAGCCUGAUGCAGCGACGCCGCGGGAGGGAUGACGGCCUC
rnacentral:rRNA from 1 species